rnacentral:rRNA from 1 species
UAUCCGCCCGGGGACUACGAGCGUCAGCUUGAAACCCAAAGGACUUGGCGGUGCUUUAGAUCCACCUAGAGGAGCCUGUUCUAGAACCGAUAAUCCCCGUUCAACCUCACCUUUUCUUGCUUAUUCCGCCUAUAUACCACCGUCGUCAGCUUACUCUUUGAGGAACUAGCCGUAAGCGCAACUGGUACAGCCUAAAACGCCAGGUCGAGGUGUAGCGAAUGGAAAGGGAAGAAAUGGGCUACAUUCAAUAACAAUAAUGCAUACGAACGAUGUUCUGAAAUAAACAUCUGAAGGAGGAUUUAGUAGUAAGUAGAGAGCAGAGUGCUCUACUGAAGCCGGCCCUGAAGCGCGUACACACCGCCCGUCACUCUCCCCGAGCUAACUAUACACAUUUCUAAUAAGCAAAACUUGCAAAGGGGAGGCAAGUCGUAACAUGGUAAGUGUACCGGAAGGUGCGCUUGGCAAAACCCAAGAGUAAAGCAAAAAUAAGCCCCUCAUAAAUUUUAAUACCUUGAGGAAACGUCUGUGCAAACCGGAUUACUCCUGAUGUAACC